rnacentral:rRNA from 1 species
GGAAUAUUGGACAAUGGGCGAAAGCCUGAUCCAGCAAUGCCGCGUGAGUGAUGAAGGCCUUAGGGUUGUAAAGCUCUUUUACCAGGGAUGAUAAUGACAGUACCUGGAGAAUAAGCUCCGGCUAACUCCGUGCCAGCAGCCGCGGUAAUACGGAGGGUGCGAGCGUUAAUCGGAAUUACUGGGCGUAAAGCGUGCGUAGGCGGUUAGUUAAGUCGGAUGUGAAAGCCCCGGGCUCAACCUGGGAAGGUCAUUCGAUACUGGUUAACUGGAGUCUGGCAGAGGCUGGCGGAAUUCCCGGUGUAGCGGUGAAAUGCGUAGAUAUCGGGAGGAACAUCAGUGGCGAAGGCGGCCGGCUGGGUCAAGACUGACGCUGAGGCACGAAAGCGUGGGUAGCA